UCCGGUUUGUCACCGGCAGUCUGAAGUGAGUCCCCAACUUAAUGCUGGCAACACUUCACGGGGGUUGCGCUCGUUGCGGGACUUAACCCAACAUCUCACGACACGAGCUGACGACAGCCAUGCAGCAUCUGUGGUGCACCCUCGAAGGUCACACGUUUCCGUGCGCUUGCAGCACCAUGUCAAGUCCAGGUAAGGUUCUUCGCGUUGCAUCGAAUUAAAGAACAUGCUCCGCUGCUUGUGCGGGCCCCCGUCAAUUCGAAGCAACGCGAAGAACCUUAUCCAAGGCUUGACAUGCACGGAUUAGCACCCUGAAAGGGGUGUGACACCCGCAAGGGUGGAACGUGCACAGGUGCUGCAUGGCUGUCGUCAGCU
rnacentral:misc_RNA from 1 species